AACGAACGCUGGCGGCAGGCUUAACACAUGCAAGUCGAGCGGAGAUGAGGUGCUUGCACCUUAUCUUAGCGGCGGACGGGUGAGUAAUGCUUAGGAAUCUGCCAUUUAGUGGGGGGCAACAUUCCGAAAGGAAUGCUAAUACCGCAUACGUCCUACGGGAGAAAGCAGGGGAUCUUCGGACCUUGCGCUAAAUGAUGAGCCUAAGUCGGAUUAGCUAGUUGGUGGGGUAAAGGCCUACCAAGGCGACGAUCUGUAGCGGGUCUGAGAGGAUGAUCAGCCACACUGGGACUGAGACACGGCCCAGACUCCUACGGGAGGCAGCAGUGGGGAAUAUUGGACAAUGAGCGGAAGCCUGAUCCAGCCAUGCCGCGUGUGUGAAGAAGGCCUUUUGGUUGUAAAGCGCUUUAAGCGAGGAGGAGGCUACUAGUACUAAUACUACUGGAUAGUGGACGUUACUCGCAGAAUAAGCACCGGCUAACUCUGUGCCAGCCGCCGCCGUAAGAC
rnacentral:rRNA from 1 species